rnacentral:rRNA from 1 species
GUUGAACGCUGGCGGCGUGCUUAAUACAUGCAAGUCGAACGGCAGCACGGGGGCAUCGCUGGUGGCGCGUGGCGGACGGGUGGGUGAUACACCGGAAGGUGCCCGGCCGAUGGGGAUGACAUAACGACGGGUACGCGGAUACCACAUACGAUCAGAGGUUGGAAGCGGGGGACCUUUAGGGCUCGCCCGUUUUGAGGUCCCGUUGUGAGAUUAGCUAGUUGGUUGGGUAAGGGCUUACCAAGCCGACGAUCUGUAGCAGGUCUGAGAGGACGACCGGCCACACUGGAACUGAGACACGGCCCAGACUCCUACGGGAGGCAGCAGUGGGGAAUCUUCGGCAAUGGGCGAAAGCCUGACGCAGCCACUCCGCGUGCGGGACGAAGGCCUUCGGGUUGUAAAAUGCUUUUGUAAGGAAAGAAAAGGCUCGGGCUAAUCCCUGCGGGUCAUGACGGUACCGAAAGAGUAAGCACCGGCUAACUACGUG